UACGUAGGGUGCGAGCGUUGCCCGGAUUUAUUGGGCGUAAAGGGCGCGUAGGCGGCCACGCACGUCCGUUGUGAAAUCGCUCGGCUCAACUGGGCGGGGUCAGCGGAUACGGAGUGGCUGGAGCAAGCUAGGGGGCAAUGGAAUUCCCGGUGUAGUGGUGGAAUGCGUAGAUAUCGGGAGGAACACCAGUGGCGAAGGCGGUUGCCUGGAGCUUUGCUGACGCUGAUGCGCGAAAGCCAGGGGAGCAAACGGG
rnacentral:rRNA from 1 species